rnacentral:rRNA from 1 species
UACGUAGGGUGCAAGCGUUGUCCGGAAUUAUUGGGCGUAAAGGGCUCGUAGGCGGUCCAUCACGUCGGGAGUGAAAAGCUGGGGCUUAACCCCAGUCCUGCUUCCGAUACGGGUGGACUAGAGGUAGGCAGGGGAGAGCGGAAUUCCUGGUGUAGCGGUGAAAUGCGCAGAUAUCAGGAGGAACACCGGUGGCGAAGGCGGUUCUCUGGGCCUUACCUGACGCUGAGGAGCGAAAGCGUGGGGAGCAAACAGG